ensembl:lncRNA
CACCUGAUCCAGCUAAUCAAGGUAUUUAGAAGUGCUAGAAACUUCCAGGCAGAUGUGUUUUAGCUGUAACAAUGGCCCUCCAGGAGCUGAGUAUGACACCUCUGCUCUAGAUCCAUAAUUGGAUGCUUUCCAAAUCUUCCACCUCAUAUCAGAGCAUUCUUCUACCCCAACAUGUCUGAGGCAAUACUGGAAGCUACGGGAGCUCAACCAGGUCAGAAUGGAAGUGAAGAGGAAAAAUAGAACAGUGCUCUUGACCUGCCCUCAGCCCCGCUCCCACAGAGUCUGACCUGCAUGAGAGGCUGAAGGAUCUUUUACCUAUGCUGCUUGACUAGCCAACCGAGAUCAAAAGCGCUUGAGGCUCCCCUCCCCUCCCGUCCCAGCCAGGAGCUGAUUGAAGCGAAUCAUGACCAGGUCAUGACCCCUGCAUGCCAGGCAUGGCUGAGGACAGACAAGCAGCCUUCCUAAGCAGGUUUUGCAGACUCAAACUGAAGCAACCACAUCUUUAUCAGAGCAUUUUUCCUUUCCUGGCUAUAAAUCAUGCGGUUUCCUUUUUCAUUCACCUGUUUUUCCUUUUUGUUUUAAGUUCUAUUGUGUGGCAAAUGAAAUCUCAGUCUUGAAGUCAACAUGAAACUGUAUUUGCAACUCAUUUAACUUGAGGAGUCUGAUGUUUGAAACAAGAUGCACUUCUCAGUAUGUCCACAAUAAAUUAACUUUAACAUUAACAAAGAGCAAUACAUUAGUUACAUAUUAAUCUUUGCUAACAGUAACACUACAUAUAUAUAUAUAUAUAUAUAUAUAUAUAUAUAUAUAUAUAUAUGUGUGUGUGUGUCUGUAUGUAUGUGAAUGUACAUUAACUAAGAUAAAUAAGUGCUUUAGAAGUGUUUUUCAUUAUAUUUCAUGUAAUGAAAUGAAACGUAUAGUGUUACCCCCAAAAACGACAUGUUGAAGGGAACCCAACAGGAAUCACUGUAUUUUACUGUAUUUUAAUAAAAUGUUUAAUUUUUAUUACAUUUUUUGAAUUUUGUGCUGUCUUUAGAUCCAGUCCAAAAAAGGGGGAAUU